CGCGGCCUAUCAGCUUGUUGGUGGGGUAGUGGCCUACCAAGGCGACGACGGGUAGCCGGCCUGAGAGGGUGACCGGCCACACUGGGACUGAGACACGGCCCAGACUCCUACGGGAGGCAGCAGUGGGGAAUAUUGCGCAAUGGGCGAAAGCCUGACGCAGCGACGCCGCGUGGGGGAUGACGGCCUUCGGGUUGUAAACCUCUUUCAGCAGGGACGAAGCGAAAGUGACGGUACCUGCAGAAGAAGCACCGGCCAACUACGUGCCAGCAGCCGCGGUAAUACGUAGGGUGCAAGCGUUGUCCGGAAUUAUUGGGCGUAAAGAGCUCGUAGGCGGUUCGUCGCGUCGGCUGUGAAAUCCCGAGGCUCAACCUCGGGUCUGCAGUCGAUACGGGCGGACUUGAGUUCGGCAGGGGAGACUGGAAUUCCUGGUGUAGCGGUGAAAUGCGCAGAUAUCAGGAGGAACACCGGUGGCGAAGGCGGGUCUCUGGGCCGAAACUGACGCUGAGGAGCGAAAGCGUGGGGAGCGAACAGGAUUAGAUACCCUGGUGGUCCACGCCGUAAACGUUGGGCGCUAGGUGUGGGGCUCAUUCCACGAGUUCCGUGCCGCAGCUAACGCAUUAAGCGCCCCGCCUGGGGAGUACGG
rnacentral:rRNA from 1 species